rnacentral:rRNA from 1 species
CAAACGCCGUGGCUUCCACGGAGGUUGCGGCUGAUGGUGAACUCCACCGCAAAAUCGCCCACCCCGCCGCUAGCCAUAUCGGCCUCUCACGCCAAAUCCCGCUUGAAUCCGCCGUUUUUCCUCUUCCCAAAGGGGUGGAUCUGCUCGCGAGCGUGACGGGUGAGGCCGACAGCUCCAGUCGGUUCACCGUCGAGCCAUGGCGGUCAAAGCAGGCCCGUGACCACGGCCGGCGGAGCCCGUGGGCCUGCUUUGACGAGCUCUGCGACGCCCUUUUCCCGCACACCGCGAGGUGCCGGGAGGAGAAUCUGGAGCUCCUCGCUGCGGAACGCACGGUGAUAGCCGGAAAAGAAGGCACCGCCGACCGCCUCGCCGCCACAAAGGAGGACCGCACCUACACCCACGCGUGCCGCAAGUUGGCAGAGAAGUUCUACCUCGGCAUUGAUGAUUGAGUCGGUCUUCCCUAGGUUUAAUUUAUAAUUUGUUUUAUGUUUAGCUAUGUAUGAACUCAGGUUGUAUUGAUGAACUUUGUAGCACAAACUGGUUUUUAAAUUUGAAGUACGAACUAUAGCAGAUCUAUUUUGCUUGGACCUUCAAUUUCCUAAAACGAUUUUGCAGUACCGGAUUAUACCGGAUCUGCUAGAGAUGCUUUUAUGUAUCCACC